UGGAGCUUGAAGGAUGCUGCCAAGAUGCUUUGACCGUAAAAAUGUUUACAACAUGGCUGGAUUCAGCCCAGACAGGAAAGGGAUAAAAAGAGAAAACAAAAGAAGUGUCACCCUGUGGCUGCAGCUGCACACAGACAGAUCGCCCCUGGGAAAUUGCUGGUCCUGAGCAAACAGCCUUGAGAAGCAGGCAAGGGAGGGAGGUUAAGAGGACUGGACCACAGACACCUUGAACUCAGAAGAUCCAAAACCACCCAGUAUUCCAUUUCCUGGUAAACUGCACCCCCAUCUAGUAAGCUACCUGACUUAGAAAGCAUGCCAUGUGGACGUGACGCCUGGAGAUAUCGCACCCACCUUAUAAUCAGGAGGAAGAAUGCCACGUGUGGAGGAUGGUGCCACAGGAAUCUGGAAGAGCUCGAUCCUGGACGACUUGCUCAAGCAGCUGCACAUUCCUCCUGCCACCUACUUCUGGAUAUUGUGUUAGGAAACUGGCAUGAGCAUACACAUCCAUUCAGAGGAGGUGAAAGUGGAGUGACUGAUGCUAGAAUCCCCACCUUCUGAGUCAACGGUCCAGAGAACAAGGCCAAAACAGCCACAAAUACUUUU
rnacentral:lncRNA from 10 species